CAUGCCGAAUCGCCCGCACAGAGGCGAACCGGGGACCCACAGCCUCGCUGUACGCGAGCGAGGCCGGGGUGAAUCCGCUCGCCGGAGCGGUAGGGCGUUCUUCGGCCCGAACCCGACAGCUAACCCGGUAGGCACACGAAGAAA
rnacentral:sRNA from 1 species